rnacentral:rRNA from 1 species
CCUACGGGAGGCUGCAGUGGGGAAUAUUGCGCAAUGGGCGAAAGCCUGACGCAGCGACGCUGCGUGUGGGAUGAAGGUCUUCGGAUCGUAAACCUCUGUCAGCAGGGAAGAACGGUCACUGUGCUAAUCAGCAGUGAAUUGACGGUACCUGCAAAAGAAGCACCGGCUAACUCCGUGCCAGCAGCCGCGGUAAUACGUAGGGUGCGAGCGUUAAUCGGAAGUACUGGGCGUAAAGCGCUCGUAGGCGGUAUGUCAAGUCAAGGGUGAAAUCCCCGCGCUCAACGUGGGAACUGCCUUUGAAACUGGCAAACUGGAGUGUGUGAGAGGAUAGUGGAAUUCCAGGUGUAGGAGUGAAAUCCGUAGAUAUCUGGAGGAACAUCGGUGGCGAAGGCGACUAUCUGGCACAUAACUGACGCUGAGGAGCGAAAGCGUGGGUAGCAAACAGGAUUAGAUACCCCAGUAGUC